rnacentral:rRNA from 1 species
AUUGAACGCUGGCGGCAGGCCUAACACAUGCAAGUCGAACGAGUGGCGGACGGGUGAGUAAUGUCUGGGAACCUGCCCGAUGGCGGGGGAUAACUACUGGAAAGGGUAGCUAAUACCGCAUACUAUCGGAUGUGCCCAGAUGGGAUUAGCUAGUAGGUGGGGUAAUGGCUCACCUAGGCGACGAUCCCUAGCUGGUCUGAGAGGAUGACCAGCCACACUGGAACUGAGACACGGUCCAGACUCCUACGGGAGGCAGCAGUGGGGAAUAUUGGACAAUGGGCGCAAGCCUGAUGCAGCCAUGCCGCGUGUAUGAAGAAGGCCUUCGGGUUGUAAAGUACUUUCGGCGAGGAGGCGUUACUCGCAGAAGAAGCACCGGCUAACUCCGUGCCAGCAGCCGCGGUAAUAC